CAAAACAGCUGCUGAUGGAAGGAAAUUCCACUUGCUGUGCCUUAUACCAGGCUGGGAGUGUCACAAGAACCCUUUACAAGCUGCUCCCACAAUGACCAAAACUGUCUUCUCAUGAGUGCAAAGCAGGCAUGCCCAAGGGGCCCAGGAUUCCACAGUUAUGUUGUCCCUGUGCCUGCAGCCUGUGAAUGGACGCCCCACCACCUCCGUCACAGCAGUGGUCAGCACAGAUAAAUGCACACAACACACAUCGAUCUGGCCCUCUGAGAAGAGAAUGUUAGGCUUCUGAAAGAAGAGAUAAAUAGUGAGAGAUAACAUCUAAGAAUCAAAAUAAUAUAUUCAGUAAUUAUUUUCUGAACCUAUCCUAAUGCUCUGACCGAUACAUUCUUUAGAACAUCUACCCGUACAUUCCAAGGACCCUUUUUCCACGGCCCUUUU
rnacentral:lncRNA from 1 species